UACAGAGGGUGCAAGCGUUGUUCGGAAUUAUUGGGCGUAAAGAGCUCGUAGGCGGUGUGUCGCGUCGGCCGUGAAAACCUGCAGCUUAACUGUGGGCUUGCGGUCGAUACGGGCAUCACUGGAGUUCGGCAGGGGAGACUGGAAUUCCUGGUGUAGCGGUGAAAUGCGCAGAUAUCAGGAGGAACACCGGUGGCGAAGGCGGGUCUCUGGGCCGAUACUGACGCUGAGGAGCGAAAGCGUGGGGAGCGAACAGG
rnacentral:rRNA from 1 species